GGAGGGAUCUUGCACAAUGGAGGCAACUCUGAUGCAGCGACGCCGCGUGAGCGAUGAAGCCUCGGGUGUGAAGCAUCUUUCGGCAGGGACGAUAAUGACGGUACCUGAAGAAGAAGCUGCGGCUAACUACGUGCCAGCAGCCGCGGUAAUACGUAGGCAGCGAGCGUUGUUCGGAAUUACUGGGCGUAAAGAGUGUGUAGGCGGCUUGGCAAGUCGGAUGUGAAAGCCCCGGCUCAACCGGAAGUGCACUCGAUACUGCUG
rnacentral:rRNA from 1 species